UACGGGGGGGGGCAAGCGUUGUUCGGAAUUACUGGGCGUAAAGGGCUCGUAGGUGGCCAACUAAGUCAGACGUGAAAUCCCCAGGCUCAACUUGGGAACUGCGUCUGAUACUGGAUGGCUUGAAUUCGGGAGAGGGAUGCAGAAUUCCAGGUGUAGCGGUGAAAUGCGUAGAUAUCUGGAGGAAUACCGGUGGCGAAGGCGGCGGUCUGGGUUGACACUGACGCUGAGGCGCGAAAGCGUGGGGAGCAAACAGG
rnacentral:rRNA from 1 species